rnacentral:rRNA from 1 species
GACGAACGCUGGCGGCGUGCUUAACACAUGCAAGUCGAACGGUAAGGCCCUUCGGGGUACACGAGUGGCGAACGGGUGAGUAACACGUGGGUGAUCUGCCCUGCACUUCGGGAUAAGCCUGGGAAACUGGGUCUAAUACCGGAUAGGACUCCUGGCUUCAUGGUUGGGGGUGGAAAGCUUUUGCGGUGUGGGAUGGGCCCGCGGCCUAUCAGCUUGUUGGUGGGGUGAUGGCCUACCAAGGCGACGACGGGUAGCCGGCCUGAGAGGGUGACCGGCCACACUGGGACUGAGAUACGGCCCAGACUCCUACGGGAGGCAGCAGUGGGGAAUAUUGCACAAUGGGCGCAAGCCUGAUGCAGCGACGCCGCGUGAGGGAUGACGGCCUUCGGGUUGUUAACCUCUUUCAGCACCGACGAAGCGCAAGUGACGGUAGGUGCAGAAGAAGGACCGGCCAACUACGUGCCAGCCGCCGCCGUAA